CCUACGGGUGGCAGCAGUGGGGAAUAUUGGACAAUGGGCGAAAGCCUGAUCCAGCCAUGCCGCGUGUGUGAAGAAGGCCUUCGGGUUGUAAAGCACUUUCAGUGGGGAAGAAAGCCUUGGGGCUAAUACCCUCGAGGAAGGACAUCACCCACAGAAGAAGCACCGGCUAACUCCGUGCCAGCAGCCGCGGUAAUACGGAGGGUGCGAGCGUUAAUCGGAAUUACUGGGCGUAAAGCGCGCGUAGGCGGUCUGAUAAGCCGGUUGUGAAAGCCCCGGGCUCAACCUGGGAACGGCAUCCGGAACUGUCAGGCUAGAGUGCAGGAGAGGAAGGUAGAAUUACCGGUGUAGCGGUGAAAUGCGUAGAGAUCGGGAGGAAUACCAGUGGCGAAGGCGGCCUUCUGGACUGACACUGACGCUGAGGUGCGAAAGCGUGGGUAGCAAACAGGAUUAGAUACCCUAGUAGUC
rnacentral:rRNA from 1 species